rnacentral:rRNA from 1 species
UACGUAGGGUGCAAGCGUUAAUCGGAAUUACUGGGCGUAAAGCGUGCGCAGGCGGUUGUGCAAGACAGAUGUGAAAUCCCCGGGCUCAACCUGGGAACUGCAUUUGUGACUGCCCGGCUAGAGUGUGUCAGAGGGGGGUAGAAUUCCACGUGUAGCAGUGAAAUGCGUAGAUAUCAAGAGGAACACCUGCGGCGAAGGCGGGUUGCUGGGCCGACACUGACGCUGAUGCGCGAAAGCCAGGGGAGCGAACGGG